rnacentral:rRNA from 1 species
UACGUAGGGUGCAAGCGUUGUCCGGAUUUAUUGGGCGUAAAGAGCGUGUAGGCGGCUAGGUAGGUCCGUUGUGAAAACUCGAGCUCAACCUCGAGACGCCGGUGGAAACCAUCUAGCUAGAGUCCGGAAGAGGAGAGUGGAAUUCCUGGUGUAGCGGUGAAAUGCGCAGAUAUCAGGAAGAACACCCGUGGCUAAGGCGGCUCUCUAGUACGGUACUGACGCUGAGACGCGAAAGCGUGGGGAGCGAACAGG